rnacentral:rRNA from 1 species
CGGAGGGUGCAAGCGUUAUCCGGAUUCACUGGGUUUAAAGGGUGCGUAGGUGGGUAAGUAAGUCAGUGGUGAAAUCUCCGGGCUUAACCCGGAAACUGCCAUUGAUACUAUUUGCCUUGAAUACUGUGGAGGUCAGCGGAAUAUGUCAUGUAGCGGUGAAAUGCUUAGAUAUGACAUAGAACACCAAUUGCGAAGGCAGCUGGCUACACAAAUAUUGUCACUGAGGCACGAAAGCGUGGGGAUCAAACAGGAUUAGAUACCCUGGUAGUCCACGCCCUAAACUAUGGAUACUCGACAUUUGCGAUAAACUGCAAGUGUCUGAGCGAAAGCAUUAAGUAUCCCACCUGGGAAGUACGAUCGCAAGAUUG